UCGUCAGUAAAUUGAGUCAAAAUGCUUGCUCCUCUAGCUCGUGUUUCCAACAAGCUUGGCAGAAAUGUGGUUACCAACCUCGUGAGGAACUCACACUCUCAUGGCGGUAUCCCUGGCGAAAACCUGCCUUUCGACCUGCACAAUCGCUACAAGCUGACAGCAUACUUCAUCCUGUAUGCUGGUUCAGGUUUUGCUGCACCUUACCUCAUCUGCCGUCACCAACUUCUCAAGAAGUAAUAAGUAAAUCGAGUGCUUCAGUAAUUCCUUGUAUGAAGAUCUAAUAGGUUUAAGUUAGCAAUGUGUAUGUUUAUGUUAUAAUUUAUGAUUUUAAUAAAUCAAAUGUUGUAGAAUC